rnacentral:rRNA from 1 species
GCUAACACUAGCCCAACCACCACUAAACUCAACAACCAUGUACCUAUAAAACAAAACAUUCAUUUCCAAAAAGUAUAGGAGAUAGAAAUUACACUAGGCGCUAUAGAGAAAGUACCGUAAGGGAAAGAUGAAAGACAGUACAUAAGCAUAAAAUAGCAAAGAUUAACCCUUGUACCUUUUGCAUAAUGAUUUAACCAGAAUAAUCUGACGAAGAGAACUUCAGCCAGACCCCCCGAAACCAGACGAGCUAUCUACGAACAACUUCACAGAGUAAACCCAUCUAUGUGGCAAAAUAGUGGGAAGAUUCGCAGCUAGAGGUGAAAUGCCUAACGAGCCUGGUGAUAGCUGGUUGUCCAAGAAAGAAUUUUAGUUCAAAUUUAAAUGUUACCUAAAAACUAGACAAUUAAAUUGUAACUUUAAAUUAUAGUCUAAAAAGGUACAGCCUUUUAGACACAGGAUACAACCUUAAUUAGAGAGCAAGGAUAACUCAACACCAUAGUCGGCCUAAAAGCAGCCAUCAAUUAAGAAAGCGUUAAAGCUCAACAACACCCAGCCUUUAAUACCAAACUCAAUUACCUAACUCCUAAUACACUACUGGACUAUUCUAUUACUAAAUAGAAGAGAUAAUGUUAAUAUGAGUAACAAGAAAUAUUUCUCCUAGCACGAGCCUAUAUCAGAACGGAUACUCCACUGAUAGUUAACAGCAAAACAUAGAACCCAAAAACAAGACCACAAUAACAACCAACUGUUGACCCAACACAGGAGUGCGCUCAAGGAAAGAUUAAAAGAAGUAGAAGGAACUCGGCAAACACAGACCCCGCCUGUUUACCAAAAACAUCACCUCUAGCAUCACAAGUAUUAGAGGCACUGCCUGCCCAGUGACACCAGUUUAACGGCCGCGGUAUUCUGACCGUGCAAAGGUAGCAUAAUCACUUGUUCUCUAAAUAAGGACUAGUAUGAAUGGCCACACGAGGGUCCUACUGUCUCCUACUUCCAAUCAGUGAAAUUGACUUUCCCGUGAAGAGGCGGGAAUGCCAAAAUAAGACGAGAAGACCCUAUGGAGCUUCAAUUCACCGACCCACUGAAAAAUCAAUCUUCACCUACAUGGCAUAAACAACCUCAGAUGGCGUCGGCAAUUUAGGUUGGGGUGACCUCGGAGUACAGACAAACCUCCGAGUGACUAAACUAAGACUAACCAGUCAAAGUGUCACAUUACUUAUUGAUCCAUAAUUUGAUCAACGGAACAAGUUACCCUAGGGAUAACAGCGCAAUCCUAUUUAAGAGUCCAUAUCGACAAUAGGGUUUACGACCUCGAUGUUGGAUCAGGAUAUCCUAAUGGUGCAGCAGCUAUUAAUGGUUCGUUUGUUCAACGAUUAAAAUCCUACGUGAUCUGAGUUCAGACCGGAGCAAUCCAGGUCGGUUUCUAUCUAUUCCUAGACUUCUUCCAGUACGAAAGGACAAAAGAAGUGAGGCCAACUUUACAAAAGCGCCUUAAGACUAAUAGAUGAUGUAAUCUCAAUCUAACAACUCCUAGCAACCACACCCUAGAACAGGGUUA